UACGGGGGGGGCAAGCGUUGUUCGGAAUUACUGGGCGUAAAGGGCGCGUAGGCGGCCUGCUAAGUCGGACGUGAAAUCCCUCGGCUCAACCGAGGAACUGCGUCCGAUACUGGUGGGCUUGAAUCCGGGAGAGGGAUGUGGAAUUCCAGGUGUAGCGGUGAAAUGCGUAGAUAUCUGGAGGAACACCGGUGGCGAAGGCGGCAUCCUGGACCGGUAUUGACGCUGAUGCGCGAAAGCUAGGGGAGCAAACAGG
rnacentral:rRNA from 1 species